AUGAAAAGCACAGUUGUCUCACUUUGUGUUGACAAAGGGGAAGAGGAAAAGAAAGAUAAAGAUUGUAUGAAAACAUCAGCUUUUAAAAAAUGGAGAAUGGUUAAAGUGCUCUUAAAAAUGGCCAGAUUUAUAGCCCUAAGACUAAAGGCCCCAUUUAUUCACAGAGGAGGCUGGAAGGAGUUCUCUCCACUGCCUGGUGACUCAUCUGAGGAGCAGGAAGAUUCGCCUGCGGAUGGGAGGAUAAUUUGGUUUUCUAGAACGGUUCACUCUUCAGUUUACUCACAAAGCUUACAACUGAGAAAACAGAAAUCUGGCUAUGUCAUCCAAAUAAUUCCACUGGACACUGGUGCCUCUCAGAAUUCAGUGAAACAGCUCCUCUCUGAAGAGACCAACAAUAGUGCUUUCAUCAGAAGAGCUCCAGUUGGAGCCCAGGAAGAAACAACGGAAGGCUGGAACCAGGCAGGCUGGCUAGAGAGUGAAAACCUUCCAGAAGCAUCAUACAUUAUACAUUUAGCAAAUUACGGCACUUUUACCUAAUUGCUCCUUUAGGAGCUAAUGACCCCCUUUGCAGCUUUGUCUAAGACACCUGAUGCAAUCAGCACAGAAAAGGUAUGCUCAGCCUCAUCCAUUGCUUUGUAGAUUUGCACUUAGUUCAAAAUUACGUGCAAAAUUUCAAAGUGUCUUUAAAAAUCUAAUCAAUCUAGUAUACUGUAAGCAUUGCUGAAACUUACACAUUUCUAAAAAUUUGUAAAGGUGACUUUGGUGAAUGGAUUUUUGUCCUUAAAUAGACAUAGCUUGCUGUAUAUGCAAACUGACUACUUGUGCAGAAUCAACCCUGGAAAUUCACAGAAUGUGCCCUUUGCUCAACCUUAGUGACCUCAUUUAGUUAAGAAAUCUGUGUGUGAUUAUACAAAUACGAUGCAGAAACCUUAUCAUGAUCUAUGCCCAGCAUGCUUUUCUGUUAUUUGUAGAAGUCAAUUUGUAGAUUGGAUUUUCUAUUAUUUUUGAAGAAAUACUUGAUUUCUUGGCAAAUAAAAGAUGUUCAAGCUAGAUUUAGAAAAGGCAAAGGAACGAGAGAUUAAGUUGCCAACUCUGUUGGAUCGUUGAAAAAGAAAGAGAAUUCUGGGAAAAAUCUACUUCUGCUCUAUUGACUACGCCAAACCCUUUGACUGUGUAGAUCACAACUGGGAAAUUCUUCAAGAGAUGGGAAUACCAGACCACUUUACCUGCCUCCU
rnacentral:lncRNA from 1 species